GUAACCAAUAAUUGGUAUUGGACCCACCAUGAAAUGGAGAUGUGAGGGUGAAGCAACCGAGAUCACUCAUUUCCUAAUCCCCCAUGUUCAGUUUCCUCUCAAUCCAAAUAAACCUCCUCAUCUGAACCCUUGCUCCGUCACGCCGAAAACCACCUACGGCAGUGGCAAAGGUUCAAACCCUUCUAAACCUACCUCAUUCUAACUGUCCAUGAUCCCUCUAUCUCAAUCCCAACUCAAUUUCUUCUAAUUUGUCACCAUGAUUCUAAAUCGAGGCAGAAAUGUCUGAACCCUAAAAAACCAAAUAUGUAAUUAAAUGGUGACUACGAGGGAUAUGAAGUCCAACCCUUAGGGGUUUUUCUCCAUGGAAGCUAGGCUACAUCGUGGCAGCUCUAUUGAAGCAAAAAUAAGGAGAAACUAAAAUAUACCUGCAAAUUAGAAACGAUGAAGAUAAAGAAAAGAAAAGAAGACCAAAGGUCUGGCACACUCAUUGCAGGCCUUGGAUGGUGCAACUUUGGUCAUGAAGUCAAGGCAUGGUUUGGCCUGAAGUUUUAGCAUGGCAUGGUAUAAGGCACAAGUUUGAGCAUAGUGCAACUUUGGCCUAUAUGGAAAUUGUGCAACAUGAAGAUAUAUGAUCAUGGUGAAGUUGGCUUGGUGAUUUAGCAUGAAGUAGGUUUAGGAUAGAAAUUUUUACUUUGGUCAACUAUUUGAUCAAAAAGUCAACACUUUACCAAGCUCAAUUCUUGGUCAAAAUAUGUAAAAUUGUGUGGAAUUUGGUUUUGAAUUUCUUGUAAUGAAGUGUUUGAUGUUUUUGUAAUGAAAUGGAUCUUGAAUGGUGUA